GAUGAACGCUAGCUACAGGGCUUAACACAUGCAAGUCGAGGGGCAUCACGAUGGGCAGCAAUGCUUAUGGGUGGCGACCGGCGAAUGGGUGAGUAACGAGUAUCCAACCUGGCCCAUACUCGGGUACAGCCCCGCGAAAGCGGGGAUUAAUGCCCGAUGCGGCGGUUUUUCCGCAUGGAGGAACCGUCAAAGGAGUAAUCUGGUAUGGGAUGGGGAUGCAUCCGAUUAGCUAGACGGCGGGGUAACGGCCCACCGUGGCGAUGAUCGGUAGGGGUUCUGAGAGGAAGGUCCCCCACAUUGGAACUGAGACACGGUCCAAACUCCUACGGGAGGCAGCAGUGAGGAAUAUUGGUCAAUGGCCGUAAGGCUGAACCAGCCAAGUAGCGUGAGGGAUGACCGCCCUAUGGGUCGUAAACCUCUUUUGCGCGGGAAUAAUCCGCACUACGUGUAGUGCGUUGCAUGUACCGUGCGAAUAAGCAUCGGCUAACUCCGUGCC
rnacentral:rRNA from 1 species